AACAGAGGGGGCAAGCGUUGUCCGGAUUGACUGGGCGUAAAGGGUCCGCAGGUGGUGCGUCACGUGGUGUGUGAAAGCGCGCGGCUUAACCGCGCGAGGCCAGACCAUACGGACGCGCUGGAGCCGCAGCGAGGGACGUGGAAUUGCCGGUGUAGUGGUGAAAUGCGUAGAGAUCGGCAGGAACACCAAGGGGGAAGCCAGCGUCCUGGCUGCGUGCUGACACUCAGGGACGACCGCGUGGGGAGCGAACCGG
rnacentral:rRNA from 1 species